CCCUUAGAUGUUCUGGGCCGCACGCGCGCUACACUGAUGCAUUCAACGAGCCUAUCCUUGACCGACAGGUCCGGGUAAUCUUUGAAUCUGCAUCGUGACGGGGAUAGAUUAUUGCAAUUAUUAAUCUUCAACGAGGAAUGCCUAGUAGGCGCAAGUCAUUAGCUUGCGUCGAUUACGUCCCUGCCCUUUGUACACACCGCCCGUCGCUCCUACCGAUUGGGUGUGCUGGUGAAAUGUUCGGAUCGGCCGUUUGUCGCGGUUUCCGCGUCAUGUGGCUGAGAAGUUCAUUAAACCCUCCCACCUAGAGGAAGGAGAAGUCGUAACA
rnacentral:rRNA from 1 species